rnacentral:rRNA from 1 species
UACGGGGGGGCAAGCGUUGUUCGGAAUUACUGGGCGUAAAGGGCUCGUAGGUGGCCAACUAAGUCAGACGUGAAAUCCCUCGGCUUAACCGGGAACUGUGUCUGAUACUGGAUGGCUUGAGUUCGGGAGAGGGAUGCGGAAUUCCAGGUGUAGCGGUGAAAUGCGUAGAUAUCUGGAGGAACACCGGUGGCGAAGGCGGCAUCCUGGACCGACACUGACACUGAGGAGCGAAAGCCAGGGAGCGAAACGGGA